UUUGGAGUAACUUAAACGUUACAUUUCACGACUCAAGAAGCGCCAACUAAGGGCCGCAGGAUCAGGCCACGCGUCAGAGGAUCGAUUGCCCAGGGGAAGCGCAAAGGUCUCUAAAGGAGGGCCACGCGAUGGGCCACGUGGCGCGCGAUCAAGGGUAGCCCAAAAGGCGUAAUCAUCCCCAUUUCAGGGAAUGUCCAAUCGGUC
rnacentral:lncRNA from 1 species